AUUGAACGCUGGCGGCAGGCCUAACACAUGCAAGUCGAACGAGUGGCGGACGGGUGAGUAAUGUCUGGGAAACUGCCCGAUGGAGGGGGAUAACUACUGGAAACGGUAGCUAAUACCGCAUACCAUCGGAUGUGCCCAGAUGGGAUUCGCGCGUAGGUGGGGUAAUGGCUAACCUAGGCGACGAUCCCUAGCGGGUCUGAGAGGAUGACAGGCCACCCUGGAACUGAGAAACGGUCCAGACUCCUACGGGAGGCAGCAUGGGGGAAUAUUGCACAAUGGGCGCAAGCCUGAUGCAGCCAUGUCGCGUGUAUGAAGAAGGCCUUCGGGUUGUAAAGUACUUUCAGCGAGGAGGCGUUACUCGCAGAAGAAGCACCGGCUAACUCCGUGCCAGCAGCCGCGGUAAUAC
rnacentral:rRNA from 1 species